rnacentral:rRNA from 1 species
GACGAACGCUGGCGGCGUGCUUAACACAUGCAAGUCGAACGGAAAGGCCCUGCUUUUGUGGGGUGCUCGAGUGGCGAACGGGUGAGUAACACGUGAGUAACCUGCCCUUGACUUUGGGAUAACUUCAGGAAACUGGGGCUAAUACCGGAUAGGAGCUCCUGCUGCAUGGUGGGGGUUGGAAAGUUUCGGCGGUUGGGGAUGGACUCGCGGCUUAUCAGCUUGUUGGUGGGGUAGUGGCUUACCAAGGCUUUGACGGGUAGCCGGCCUGAGAGGGUGACCGGCCACAUUGGGACUGAGAUACGGCCCAGACUCCUACGGGAGGCAGCAGGGGGGAAUAUUGCACAAUGGGCGGAAGCCUGAUGCAGCAACGCCGCGUGCGGGAUGACGGCCUUCGGGUUGUAAACCGCUUUCGCCUGUGACGAAGCGUGAGUGACGGUAAUGGGUAAAGAAGCACCGGCUAACUACGUG